CGCUAAACAAAAGACCUUAUUGGAGUUUCACCACUUUUUCCACUAAUGUCCUUUUUCUGUUCCCAAAUUCCACCCAGGAUCACGCUGCAUUUAGUUAUUUCUUAGUCUCUCGCCAUUUUGUAGGACUGCAAUAACAGUUCCUCAAUCUUUCCUUAUCUUUCAUAACCGUGACAUCUUGAACCAGUACUGAUCACUAUUUGUCAAAUGUUCCUCGAUUUGGGUUUGUCUGAUGUAUUUCCAUGAUUGGACUGAAGUUACACACUUUUGGCAAUUACAGCACAAAAAUGAUGUGGAAUCCUUCCCAGUGCAUUCCAUCAGAGUUAUGGCAUUGAUAGUUCUUCUUACUGAUGAUGUUGAACUUGUUCAUUUGGUUCAGGUUUCUGCUGGGUUUCUCCAUUGUAAAGUUACUAUCUUUCCCCCUCAUAGGGGGAAAGAUCUUAGGAGAAAUACUUGGAGACUAUGAAAAUUUUGUAUUUUCUCAAACUUUAAAAUUUUUUUCAGGCCAGGCGCAGUGGCUCACCCGAACUGUAACCCUCUUAUCUCAACUAGCUGACAUUAUUACUUCACAUCCAGUUCAAUUUAUAAAUUAAGAGAGGUGCCAUGGGCCGGGUACGGUGGCUCACGCCCGUAAU
rnacentral:lncRNA from 10 species